AGUUGAGACUUAGCUGCCAGGGAUUCGCUAAGUUCGUCCUCAACUAAGGGAAAUGGCAACUUUCGGCGUGGUCAGCGCUGGCUCCAGGAAUACAUGUUCUGGUAGCGUGGGAAGAGCGUUGAAUGGAGAGCCUCUUUUGUUUUCAAUGGAGCGAGGAAACCUUGGCUGAGUGAAUCUUUCAUCGUGGUCUUCGUGCAUAAGAAAGGUUCUUACGGUCAGGUUUUAUGAUUAGUUGCUUCCCGUGGUCACAGGCUAACAGAAUCUCGGUGGAAGAAUGAAUAAGGCGGGGGAGGGGGACAGCUUCACAACAGAGCCUAAAAGCUUCUCUCAGACACAGGGGCGCUUGCUUAAUGAACAGGAUGCUAAGAGGGGUUCCUGAGAGUCUUACAGAUGACACUUGGCAACUGCCUGUCCUGUAGGGUUAUGACAUCCAUCUGUUUCAAGGCAGGGGUCCUGGCUAGAUAAUCACUACGUCUUCACCUGAAUGAAGUCUGAUGUGGACUGAAGAAUUUUUGGCCCCUGAGGCGAUAACUACUGAUUUGUAGUUGUUAGGAACCAACCACUCCACUGCUCUAACUCUGCCCUGCGGUUUAUUUUGGCCUCUGGAGGAACUGCAGCUUGCUCUCCCAACCUAAGGACAUUGGUUUUUGCUAGUCUCAUCUCUUUGAAACAUGAUAAUGCAGCUAAAGCAAUGUAAUAACUGCAAAUGACAGAAAGAUGGAAUCUUCCCCCUUGCCACCGCACGAGCAAUCUUAGGCUGGGAUGUUUGCUUCAGCAGCUACCCUUUUGACUGUGUGACCAGCUGUCCUUACAAAUCUGCCCAGCUGCCUGAAGACUAAGUGGCUGUUUCUCUUCUAAGCAAAGAGGAGGGUACCGCCCACCCAUCCAGAAGCUUCCAAGGACACAGAGAAAUUGAGAGGGGGAGAAGAGAAGAGACACCUACAGUCCUGCUUCCAUGCUUGAGAAGUUUCCCUCCUGUAAGUGUAGCCAGAACCAGGGAUUUGAACUUGAGUCCUUCUGCAUGGUAACAUCAUCUUUCUCCUUAUUGUCUGGACUUCAAAAAAUACAAGAAGCCCCUAAAUUGAAUGUAAAUUUUUCCACCAAGUUGCAAACACUAUGAUUCCAUCCUGACUUCCCUGACAGAUGACCUCACCGAUGUGUUCUGAAACCUCACCUCUCCAGAGCUGUGCCCCACUAGGGAAAGGUACAA